UACAGAGGAUGCAAGCGUUAUCCGGAAUGAUUGGGCGUAAAGCGUCUGUAGGUGGCUUUUUAAGUCCGCCGUCAAAUCCCAGGGCUCAACUCUGGACAGGCGGUGGAAACUACCAAGCUGGAGUACGGUAGGGGCAGAGGGAAUUUCCGGUGGAGCGGUGAAAUGCGUAGAGAUCGGAAGGAACACCAGUGGCGAAAGCGGCUUCCUGGUCCGACACCGACGUUCAGGCACGAAAGCGUGGGGAGCAAACAGG
rnacentral:rRNA from 1 species